rnacentral:ncRNA from 2 species
UAGCGCUUCAGGGCAAGGUGACCCCGAAAAAAGCGGGGAAUUCCUGACCGGCGGUAUAGUCCGCGAAUCCUCCAAACGGAGGAUGGACAUGGUGAAAAUCCAUGACCGACAGUAGAGUCUGGAUGGAAGAAGGCGCUU